ACCUCAGAGCAGGCGAGAUCACU
rnacentral:rRNA from 1 species